UUUUUGGGUUUUCUAUCUUUCCUUUGAUUCAUAAUAUUUAAUUCUAUGGGCGUCAGUUUCUAGGAUACACCACGCCUUCUCUAACCUUUUUGCCCAAGAUUUUUAUGGGAUUUACAGUCUUUGUCUCUAUCAUGUCAGAUAAUGGCAGGCUGGAUCUGCAGCUGAGGGGGUGGUAGUCUAUGGUAGUGAUGUGCCUUCCAGCAAGUCUAUGUGAGCAGAACACAGAAUGGAUCAAAGACAACAAGACAAAUACGAGGCCCAGCAACUAGUGACCUUGAACUUCAGUAACUAGGCAAAGUUCAAGACUUUGAUGACAGUUGCCAGGGAGAGCAUCGCCAAAUAAAAUCAUGCGUUCUUGUUCUAA